rnacentral:rRNA from 1 species
GUCCUACGGGGCGCAGCAGUGGGGAAUAUUGCACAAUGGGGGAAACCCUGAUGCAGCAACGCCGCGUGAGUGAAGAAGUAUUUCGGUAUGUAAAGCUCUAUCAGCCUGGAAGAGACUGACGGUACCUGACUAAGAAGCCCCGGCUAACUACGUGCCAGCAGCCGCGGUAAUACGUAGGGGGCGAGCGUUAUCCGGAUUUACUGGGUGUAAAGUGCGCGUAGACGGUUCUGCAAGUCUGAAGUG